AAGGUAGCCAACACUUUAUUUUUUUAUAAAAAAAAAAAAAAUAUAUAUAUAUAUAUAUAUAUUUUAAUUGGGGAAGCCCUUAAAAUAUUGGGACAUAUAAAAAAAAGACAAAUCUGUUCCACAGAGUAGCUGUUGACAUUAUAGUUGCGCAGGCACUUUGUUGACUCUAGAGAACCUUGGGCCAAUCGCACAUCCCCGUGGCAACGACUUUGCAUGCGGAUGCCAGUUUCUGUGCCUACUAUGGUGACCACGGGUAACGGGGAAUCAGGGUUCCAUUCUGUACAGGGACCCUGAGAAAUGGCUACCACAUGCAAGGAAGGCAGCAGGCGCACAAAUGACCCACUCCCGACACGGGAAGGUAG